GCAGGACACGCACCCCCUAAGGCUGGCUGCGUGGCUGGAACCCAGAUUUCCGGGGUGGCCUCCGCGAUCACGUGCCCACAGCAGCCUGGCCAGCUCUCCGCCGCGACGACGUCCCCCAGGAGCUGCAUCACGGACACCUCCCUCGGUGGGCGGGGCGCGGCCUGGGAGAGCGAGUGCUCCCCCCUACCCCGCACCAGGCCACCCCAAGGCGCGGGGCUGAGAGCUGGCCGGGGAGAGGGCGGCCGGUUCCCUCAGGAGGGGGCAGGGGCGGGCAGGGGCACCCCUCCUCCUGCAGCCCCACGAGCCUCCCCGUGGCAGGUCCCCGGCCGGCUCCUCCCUUCUCAGACCCCACUUCAGGCGUCUUUGCCGCCGUCCCUUCCGCGUUCGCCACCCGUGUGUUUGGGGCACUUAGUGAUUCACAAACACUUUCAUGCCUGUGCCCGCCUCACACUCCGCGGGGCGAGGCUUCGGCCCGGUCCAGGCCCGGUGCCCCCGACGGCCCGCCGUCCAGCAGCCCUGGGGCGACGCAAAGCGCGCGUGAUCAGGACGGGGGGCGCAGCACGGGGAGGGCGCAGGGGCCUGGCAGGGGCUCCCCGAGUGGCCCUUGGGGCCUUCCCCAGCCAGGGGACCGGGCGGAGCUGGCUGCUGGGAGCCCAGGGAGUGGGGUGCAGAGCUCGGGCGGGGUGCGGGGGAGGCUCCGAUCCGCAGCAGUGGGCCCUGCGCAGGCCCAAGAGGGGACAGACCCCGGAUGACAGGAUGUCAGGGGCAGCCGGCGGCGUGAGGUGCCACAGCAGGAGGCCGGAGCGGCCCUUCCGUCCUGCUCGCCCGACAGCCCCUCAGGGCGGGCGGCACAGCCGCGGCUUUGCUCCAGGUGCCCGGGCUCUGCUGGGGGGCAGGGAGCGAAGGGCUCUGGGUGCGUGGGGCGCAGCCGGGUCAGCGGAGACAGAACUGCCCGUGUCCGGGGCGCUGGCCCUCACCCCGCCUGGCCUCCAGCAACCGGCCGGAGGUCCUGGAGGUCACGCCCUGCAGGCGAAGUCCUGUACGCGGGCUCAGCCGGUGGCGCUGGCCCUGGAUGCCAACCGCGCCCUCGAGGCCGCAGUGCCACCCGCGCCGUCCCAAGGCCGGUUUCUGCUCCGCUCCCUGAAUUCGAAGCUUAAGUGCCUUCAGAGUGCUUGGUUUUACUGCCCUGGAGGCAGGGCCCGAGUCCCCGGCAGGUCCCGGGCACCUGCAGGUGCCAGGGGGCCCUGCCUGAGGGGGCGACACCCUGGUGAGCCCACAGCCCUGCCCUCAGAGAGCCUGCGGCCCACCGCCGGGGCCAGAGCGGAAGCCGCAAGGGCCGGCCGACUGGGAGGGGGCUCCGGGGGUGAGGACUAUGGCAGGAUCCUGUGUCGCGCCUCCCCGCUUGUGCCCCACGGGGAGCGGGCCCCUAGGGGACACUCGUGCAUCCACGCUCACGGCCGCACAAUUCAUGGGAGCCGGACGUGGGAGCAGCCACGUGGCCACCGUGGAUGA
rnacentral:lncRNA from 1 species